AUUGAACGCUGGCGGCAGGCCUAACACAUGCAAGUCGAGCGAGCGGCGGACGGGUGAGUAAUGUAUGGGGACUGCCCGAUAGAGGGGGAUAACUACUGGAAACGGUGGCUAAUACCGCAUACUAUCGGAUAACCCAUAUGGGAUUAGCUCGUAGGUGGGGUAAAGGCUCACCUAGGCGACGAUCUCUAGCUGGUCUGAGAGGAUGAUCAGCCACACUGGGACUGGGAAACGGCCCAGACUCCGAGGGAGGCAGCAGAGGGUAAGAUUGGACAAUGGGCGAAAGCCGUAUGAAGCAAUGCCGCGUGUAUGAAGAAGGCCUUAGGGUUGUAAAGUACUUUCAGCUGGGAGGCGGUACCCGCAGAAGAAGCACCGGCUAACUCCGUGCCAGCAGCCGCGGUAAUUC
rnacentral:rRNA from 1 species